GUGUGUCGUGACGUCACGGUGCCGAGCGGGGAGAAGGACGCGCGCGAUCCUGCCCACGUGUUUCGUUCCAGCUGAUAACCGGGCUCGGAGCUGAAACGCGGCUUCUUUCGAGACCGAGUGGAAGCGGGACUGGGGGACAUUGGCGCGGAGCUAUUUGCUUUGAAGUCAAUCUCUUUCGUUAAAAUAACGACGUAAAUAAAAUCAGUAAUCCCACUUACCCUGAGAAAACAUGGAAGACUGGGAGGACAACGUGGACCCCAUGCCCCAGAGUGCUUACAAUGCAUUGACAAAUGGUAAUGAAACAAAGACCUGGAAUAGCCUCUAUUCAGAUAGGCCUUCUUACAGUCAAAAUGGUAAGUUUUUUAAAAGAAACUAUUCACUCUAGAGACCUGCCCACAGAAGAACAAGCAGGCCAUUUUUUUCCUCCUGGUUUG
rnacentral:lncRNA from 1 species